CCUACGGGAGGCAGCAGUGGGGAAUUUUGGACAAUGGGCGCAAGCCUGAUCCAGCAAUGCCGCGUGAGUGAAGAAGGCCUUCGGGUUGUAAAGCUCUUUUGUCAGGGAAGAAACGGUGGGGGCUAAUAUCUCCUACUAAUGACGGUACCUGAAGAAUAAGCACCGGCUAACUACGUGCCAGCAGCCGCGGUAAUACGUAGGGUGCAAGCGUUAAUCGGAAUUACUGGGCGUAAAGCGUGCGCAGGCGGUUUUGUAAGUCUGUCGUGAAAGCCCCGGGCUCAACCUGGGAAUUGCGAUGGAGACUGCAAGGCUUGAAUCUGGCAGAGGGGGGUAGAAUUCCACGUGUAGCAGUGAAAUGCGUAGAGAUGUGGAGGAACACCGAUGGCGAAGGCAGCCCCCUGGGUCAAGAUUGACGCUCAUGCACGAAAGCGUGGGGAGCAAACAGGAUUAGAUACCCUGGUAGUCCACGCCCUAAACGAUGUCUACUAGUUGUCGGGUUUUAAUUAACUUGGUAACGCAGCUAACGCGUGAAGUAGACCGCCUGGGGAGUACGGGUCGCAAGAUUAAAACCUCGAAAGGAAUUGACGG
rnacentral:rRNA from 1 species